AAUUAUGAAAAAUAUGAUUUUUUUUUUAAUUAGAAAACUGUUUUCUAUUAUUGAUAGGUAAAUGUGUUUUCCAUAUUUUCCUUACCUGGAGUUUUCUUUGAAAAUGGAAAAUGAAAAAAAGAGAUGUGUUUUCCACAAAUAAACAGGGUCUUAAGGUUUCUGUGAUCCCAUCCAUUAAAGGACAGAACAUGCAAGCUUUUAGGGUUGGAUGCUUGAUACGAAAAGAAUGAUUAUGCAACAAGGUGAGGGCAGCCAUGUUCAAAAGUUAUUCAUUUCUUUCCAUCAACUUUACCAGUUUUUAUCAAAAUAAGUACAACACCACUAAUUGAAUGGCAAUUUUGUUUUCACCAGUCUCAUUAAAAUCAAAGGUUUAGGUGCCUUCUGUUUCAUGGAAAAUAACAACGAAGUGGAAAGCAUUUUAGGAGAAAACAAAUCAUUUCUGCCAUUUGGUUGCACCUUUGGAAAUUAAUUGGAUAUUAUUUUUUGACAUUUGAGUACAUAUGGAAAAUUAAUUUUCUUCCAACAAAGAUAUCACAAGAAUGAAUCUAUAUUGCGGUGGUUGUGGGUUCUCCACUAAACAAGUAGAGUCUCAGAGAUUUAGUUUAGCUCUAUCAGCAAUUUUCUGUCAUACAUAAAAGUUAAAAGGACACAAGGAAACAAAAAUAUCUACAUAUAAAUAAUAUUGAACAUUCAUGAAAUGGAAAAUCUUGUUAAAGAAGUAGAAAGAAAAAGAAUUUAAUCAACUGAUCAACAUGGAGCAAUACUUAGAGACAAGACCAUCACUUUCAACAAACGAGUGAACACAAUCAAAUUCAUAACAAAGAAAUAAAUAUGAAGAGCAGACAAACAAUUCAGAACAAACAAAAAAAUAAGGUCAUGACUUGACAGUAGACCAGUGAAAAAUCAUACUGCAAAACCUACAAGCAAGAGUGGGCCGAUGUUAAUUGACAAUGGGGACAAAUUCAGUGAGCAAAAACAAAUUAUGCACGCAAUACAAAAUUGUAGUUGUAACCCACGAAAGACAAUAUUAAAACCCCUAAUAUUACCUAAACAAAUAUGGCCGUUGCUGUAAAUAUGUGGGUGCAGUGGAGCCGGAUGAAGAAAAAUAACCUGAGGGGCUUCCAUAGGGUAGUGCUCUGGGAAGUCAACUUGAAGUUGGUGGGUCUCAUUAGCGUAGAGGGUUCCAGGAGCUCCAUUUACUUCAAUUACCCACCUUUAAUUCGAAAUCCAAACACGCCCACAGAGCAAAAGAAAGGGAAGGGGGAAGAAGCAUGAAUUAGGGGCGCAAAAAAAUAAUUGAAGCAUAUAUGACAUCAAUAAUGCACCAUCUGGCUGCCAAAAAAUCCUGCUUUUUCGUUUCUGUGUCUGUUUCCUUCCUUUGGUUUUCUCAGCAACCAAACGGAGACCAAAAAAAGCAAUUGAACAGAGAUUUUAAAAAAAAUUAAAAAAAGGAAGAUUUAAUUCCUUAAAUAAGAAGGAAACCUUUGAAGAUUAUCGGUAGCUUUGUGUUUGAAUCCAGCAGGAGGGUUGACCUGCCACUCUACCAGCUCUUUCUGAAGGCGAUUGCAAGCAAUCUUACUCAGUGCCUUGCGGGAGGUGGCGGAGGAGCUGGUCAUGCUUUGAAUCUCUAUAACAAUGGCGGCGAGAGGGAGAGAGAGAAAGAGAGAAGGAGAGAGGAGAGGAUCGGACAGAGAGAGAUAGAGAGCAAUAGAGAGAGAUAGGUGGUUGAUGGGAGGGGCAAACAGAACCAGCGACGGUUUAUGAGGGCGUGACCUCCUUUGCCC
rnacentral:misc_RNA from 1 species